rnacentral:lncRNA from 1 species
GGUUGAUGAAUAUUCCUUCUUUUAUUUUUUUGAUUUGAAGAUCGAGAAAGAAAUUUAGCUCUCCCAUCAUGUUCAUUUCAAAUUCUCCCUGCAUUAACUUAGUAAAUUCUUGGCAAAGAGUUUCAUUAGUAACUCUGAAAAUAAUGUCAUCCACAUAUAUUUCAAUAAUUAACAAAUCAGUUUCUUUUCUUUUUAAGAAUAG